rnacentral:rRNA from 1 species
UACAGAGGGUGCAAGCGUUAAUCGGAAUUACUGGGCGUAAAGCGUGCGUAGACGGUAGCGUAAGUCGGGUGUGAAAGCCCCGAGCUCAACCUGGGAAUUGCAUUCGAGACUGCUCUGCUAGGGUGCGGAAGAGGGGAGCGGAAUUUCCGGUGUAGCGGUGAAAUGCGUAGAUAUCAGGAAGAACACCCGUGGCUAAGGCGGCUCUCUAGUACGGUACUGACGCUGAGACGCGAAAGCGUGGGGAGCGAACAGG